UACGUAGGGGGGCAAGCGUUUGUCCGGAAUCAUUGGGCGUAAAGCGCGUGUAGGCGGCCCGGUAAGUCCGCUGUGAAAGUCGGGGGCUCAACCCUCGAAUGCCGGUGGAUACUGUCGGGCUAGAGUGCGGGAGAGGCGAGUGGAAUUCCUGGUGUAGCGGUGAAAUGCGCAGAUAUCAGGAGGAACACCGAUGGCGAAGGCAGCUCGCUGGGACGGUACUGACGCUGGAGACGCGAAAGCGUGGGGAGCAAACAGG
rnacentral:rRNA from 1 species